UCAAAUAUGCCAUUGAACUAUUAGAAAUGGCUCAUUAAUUCCAUUCGUUAAAAGUUUGGCUCGUUUAUGCCAUCAUCAUUACAAAACAGGUUCAUUUAUGUCAUUACUUGUUAACGGUGGUUUUUCAAAAUUAGCUUUGCCAUGUGUCGUCUUACUAGAGAUCCACAUCAUUAACUAAAAUAAUGGAAAAAAGCUCAAAUAUGUCAUUGAACUAUCAGAAAUGACUCAUUUAUGUCAUCCAUUAAAAGUUUAUCUUGUUUAUGCCAUUGUCAUUAAAAAACAAGUUCAUCCAUUCUAUUACUUGUUAACGGUGGUUUUUCAAAAACAGCUUUGCCACGCGUCGUCUUACUAGAGGUCCAUGUCACUAAUUAAAAUUAUGUGAUUAUCCCAAUUAAGUUAACUAAACAACUGAAUAUAUUUCGAGAUAUUCUUAGACCAAGCUCCAAUAACUUUAAACACAAGUGAGGCCUAAAAUAUUCUCUUGCCAAGCCUUAUGAACCUCAAAAUGACUAGUUAAUCAUUUUCAGUUGCAUACAUUUUGGUCGAUUAAUAUUCGUUCUUCAGGGAGUUUUCAUUCAAUGCUAUGAUGGAUGAUCUUCCUCAAAGAUUCAAGGCACUGACUAUUAUGAACAAAUUGUAAGAGAAAAUAAAUCAAUUCUCAUUGAUUUAUUUCAAUUAAUGACGUGGACCUCUUGUAAGAUGACACAUGGCAAAGAUAUUUUUGAAAAA
rnacentral:lncRNA from 1 species